CAACAGCAGAAAGAGAAAGGGUUUGCCUAGAGAAACAUGUUUAUUUGAUUAAAGAUACCCUGCGUAUAUAAAAUUGAAGACAUGAGUAAAAGCUGAUCACGUUCUACCAAAGUGAAAGAUGCGAAAACCGUUCCACGGUCGCUGUUUCACCCGGUCAAUAGGAAAGUGAACACACUCAGAUGUAAACAAGAGAAAAACAUGGCUUCGCCCUUGAUCAGGUGCUUCUCAAAGGUUGGUAGGCAGGUGUCCCGACCAUGGAGUGUGUGCCAACAUGGGCUGCGGAACAGAUCCACCCAACCAGACAUGUCUGCAGAGCAGGCUGCUGCUCUGGGGGUCACCUACCCUCCACUACAGACAUAUUCUGAGGAGGAGGGGAUGAUGAGGGAUGCUGUGAACAAGUUUGCACAGGAGCGUCUUGCCCCGUUCGUGUCGAAGAUGGACGAAAACUCUCUCAUGGACCCGGAAGUGAUAAAGUCCCUCUUUGAACAGGGGCUGAUGGGCAUAGAGAUCGACCCAGAGUACGGAGGCACCGGCUCCACGUUCUUCUCCUCCAUCCUGGUCAUUGAGGAGCUGGCCAAAGUGGACGCCUCCGUGGCCGUGCUGUGUGACAUCCAGAACACCCUCAUCAACACGCUGUUCACCAAGCUGGGGACCGCAGCCCAGAAAGAGAGGUAUCUCAGCCGGCUGUCAACAGACAUGGUUGGUAGUUUCUGCCUGUCAGAAGCAGAGUCGGGUAGCGAUGCCUUCUCUCUGAAGACCCGCGCUGACAAACAUGGAGACUAUUACGUCAUCAACGGUUCCAAGAUGUGGAUCAGCAACGCAGAGCAAGCCGGGGUGUUUCUGGUGAUGGCCAACGUGGACCCGUCUGCUGGUCACCGAGGUAUCACCUGCUUCAUCGUGGACAGAGACACCGAGGGGCUUCAGAUCGGCAAGAAGGAGAACAAACUGGGUCUGAGAGCUUCUUCAACCUGUCCUCUCAACCUGGAUAACAUCAAGGUUCCUGAGAAGAACGUCUUGGGUCAGAUCGGCCACGGAUACAAGUACGCCAUCGGCAUGCUGAACGAGGGCAGGAUUGGGAUCGCCGCUCAGAUGCUGGGCCUGGCUCAGGGUUGCUUCGACCAGGCCGUUCCCUACACCAGACAGAGGGUUCAGUUUGGCAAACGCAUCUUCGACUUCCAGGCCAUGCAGCACCAGAUCGCCCAUGUAGCCACCCAGAUAGAGGCUGCCAGGCUGCUUACCUACAACGCUGCCCGGCUGAAGGAGGCUGGAAGACCUUUCAUCAAGGAGGCCUGCAUGGCCAAGUACUUCACCUCAGAGGUGGCAACGUUGACCACUUCAAAAUGCAUCGAGUGGAUGGGAGGGGUAGGCUUCACCAAAGACUACCCUGUUGAGAAGUACUACAGAGAUUGUAAAAUAGGUACCAUUUAUGAGGGCACAACCAACAUCCAGCUGUCCACCAUGGCCAAGUUUAUAGACAAGGAGUAUGAUCACUGACCUCCUGACCUGGUCUGGCUGUUUCCUCAUCGUGUAGACUGAUCUCCUGACCUGACCUCCUGCCCUGGUCUGGCUGUUUCCUCAUCGUGUAGACUGAUCUCCUGACCUGACCUCCUGCCCUGGUCUGGCUGUUUCCUCAUCGUGUAGACUGACCUCCUGACCUGGUCUCCUGCCCUGGUCUGGCUGUUUCCUCAUCGUGUAGACUGACCUCCUGACCUGGUCUCCUGCCCUGGUUUGGCUGUUUCCUCAUCGUGUAGACUGACCUCCUGACCUGGUCUCCUGACCUGAUCUGGCUGUUUCCUCAUCGUGUAGACUGACCUCCUGACCUGGUCUCCUGACCUGAUCUGGCUGUUUCCUCAUCGUGUAGACUGAUCUCCUGACCUGGUCUCCUGACCUGGUCUCCUGACCGUAUUC